rnacentral:rRNA from 1 species
CAAUACCGCGUGAGGGAGGAAGGCUCUUGGGUUGUAAACCUCUUUUCUCAAGGAAGAACUCAAUGACGGUACUUGAGGAAUAAGCAUCGGCUAACUCCGUGCCAGCAGCCGCGGUAAUACGGAGGAUGCAAGCGUUAUCCGGAAUGAUUGGGCGUAAAGCGUCCGCAGGUGGCGAUGUAAGUCUGCUGUUAAAGAGUGAGGCUCAACCUCAUAAGAGCAGUGGAAACUACAUAGCUAGAGUGCGUUCGGGGCAGAGGGAAUUCCUGGUGUAGCGGUGAAAUGCGUAGAGAUCAGGAAGAACACCGGUGGCGAAAGCGCUCUGCUAGGCCGCAACUGACACUGAGGGACGAAAGCUAGGGGAGCGAAUGGGAUUAGAUACCCCAGUAGUCCUAGCCGUAAACGAUGGAUACUAGGCGUGGCUUGUAUCGACCCGAGCCGUGCCGUAGCUAACGCGUUAAGUAUCCCGCCUGGGGAGUACGCACGCAAGUGUG